rnacentral:rRNA from 1 species
CUUUUACAAUGAAGAGUUUGAUCCUGGCUCAGGAUGAACGCUAGCUACAGGCUUAACACAUGCAAGUCGAGGGGCAGCGGGGUUGAAGCUUGCUUCAACCGCCGGCGACCGGCGCACGGGUGAGUAACACGUAUCCAACCUGCCGAUAACUCCGGGAUAGCCUUUCGAAAGAAAGAUUAAUACCGGAUGGCAUAGUUUUCCCGCAUGGAAUAACUAUUAAAGAAUUUCGGUUAUCGAUGGGGAUGCGUUCCAUUAGGCAGUUGGCGGGGUAACGGCCCACCAAACCGACGAUGGAUAGGGGUUCUGAGAGGAAGGUCCCCCACAUUGGAACUGAGACACGGUCCAAACUCCUACGGGAGGCAGCAGUGAGGAAUAUUGGUCAAUGGACGAGAGUCUGAACCAGCCAAGUAGCGUGAAGGAUGACUGCCCUAUGGGUUGUAAACUUCUUUUAUACGGGAAUAAAGUUAGCCACGUGUGGUUUUUUGCAUGUACCGUAUGAAUAAGGAUCGGCUAACUCCGUGCCAGCAGCCGCGGUAAUACGGAGGAUCCGAGCGUUAUCCGGAUUUAUUGGGUUUAAAGGGAGCGUAGGCGGGGUAUUAAGUCAGUUGUGAAAGUUUGCGGCUCAACCGUAAAAUUGCAGUUGAUACUGGUAUCCUUGAGUGCAGCAGAGGUGGGCGGAAUUCGUGGUGUAGCGGUGAAAUGCUUAGAUAUCACGAAGAACUCCGAUUGCGAAGGCAGCUCACUGGAGUGUAACUGACGCUGAUGCUCGAAAGUGUGGGUAUCAAACAGGAUUAGAUACCCUGGUAGUCCACACAGUAAACGAUGAAUACUCGCUGUUGGCGAUACAAUGUCAGCGGCCAAGCGAAAGCAUUAAGUAUUCCACCUGGGGAGUACGCCGGCAACGGUGAAACUCAAAGGAAUUGACGGGGGCCCGCACAAGCGGAGGAACAUGUGGUUUAAUUCGAUGAUACGCGAGGAACCUUACCCGGGCUUGAAUUGCAACUGACGGAGCUGGAAACAGUUCUUUCUUCGGACAGUUGUGAAGGUGCUGCAUGGUUGUCGUCAGCUCGUGCCGUGAGGUGUCGGCUUAAGUGCCAUAACGAGCGCAACCCUUAUCGAUAGUUACCAUCAGGUUAUGCUGGGGACUCUAUCGAGACUGCCGUCGUAAGAUGUGAGGAAGGUGGGGAUGACGUCAAAUCAGCACGGCCCUUACGUCCGGGGCUACACACGUGUUACAAUGGGGGGUACAGAAGGCAGCUACACGGCGACGUGAUGCUAAUCCCCAAAACCUCUCUCAGUUCGGAUUGGAGUCUGCAACCCGACUCCAUGAAGCUGGAUUCGCUAGUAAUCGCGCAUCAGCCACGGCGCGGUGAAUACGUUCCCGGGCCUUGUACACACCGCCCGUCAAGCCAUGAAAGCCGGGGGUACCUGAAGUACGUAACCGCAAGGAGCGUCCUAGGGUAAAACUGGUGAUUGGGGCUAAGUCGUAACAAGGUAGCCGUACCGGAAGGUGCGGCUGGAACACCUCCUUUCU